UGCCACGUUAAAGAGCAAGUGCUGAGUG
rnacentral:piRNA from 1 species